ensembl:snRNA U2 U2 spliceosomal RNA
AUCGAAGCUCGGCCUUUUGGCUAAGAUCAAGUGUAGUAUCUGUUCUUAUCAGUUUAAUAUCUGACAAACGUCUAAACAGGUUUGGGACCAUAUAUUAAAUUGAUUUUUGGAACUGGGAGAUGGGAAAAGGGCUUGCCCCGUCCACUCCAAAUCGACCUGGUAUUGCAGUACCUCCAGGACCGGUGCACCCCUC